rnacentral:rRNA from 1 species
UGGGGAAUAUUGGACAAUGGGCGCAAGCCUGAUCCAGCAAUGCCGCGUGUGUGAAGAAGGCCUUCGGGUUGUAAAGCACUUUUAUCAGGAGCGAAACGCUGUCGGCUAAUACCCGGCGGAACUGACGGUACCUGAGGAAUAAGCACCGGCUAACUUCGUGCCAGCAGCCGCGGUAAUACGAAGGGUGCAAGCGUUAAUCGGAAUUACUGGGCGUAAAGCGUGCGUAGGCGGUCUCUUAAGUCUGCUGUGAAAUCCCCGGGCUCAACCUGGGAAUGGCAGUGGAUACUGGGAGGCUAGAGUGUGUCAGAGGGUGGUGGAAUUCCCGGUGUAGCGGUGAAAUGCGUAGAGAUCGGGAGGAACAUCAGUGGCGAAGGCGGCCACCUGGGACAACACUGACGCUGAGGCACGAAAGCGUGGGGAGCAAACAGGAUUAGAUACCCUGGUAGUCCACGCCCUAAACGAUGCGAACUGGAUGUUGGUCUCAACUCGGAGAUCAGUGUCGAAGCUAACGCGUUAAGUUCGCCGCCUGGGGAGUACGGUCGCAAGACUGAAACUCAAAUGAAUUGACGGGGUCAUAGCUGUUUCC